rnacentral:lncRNA from 1 species
CUUUUCCUUCAUAGCCAUGCCUACACUUGUUAUUAUUUGAUUUCUUGAUGAUUGCCACUCUUUCAAAUGUAAAAUUCUAGUAUUAUUCCAAUUUGCAUUUUUAAAGACCAGAGAUGUGUCCCAGCCCGAUGGUACAGUCAAGGAGGACCCUAGAGGGGGAGUGGGGAUGAUAAAGGGACAAGAGACACGAAGAAUGGAGACAAGACAGGAUUCUGAUCAAGUCUUAUUUAUUGGCGGGAAGUACUGUGCUUAUAUAGGGCAUGGAAAAACGUGGAAGUUCUUAAGGCGGGAGUAACCAAGUAACUGGACAAAGGCGGGAGUAGCUAGGCAAUGGUGGGCAGUCCUAGUUCUAGAGGCGGGAGUAGCUAGGCAACGGUAGGCAGUCCUGACUUAAAGGGAAAGGCGCGUCUAACAGAAACUUAACUCAGACAACAGAAACAAUGCUUAAGAUGGCUACUAAUAUACAAUGGAGGUAACAGUGUGGCAUCAAUUACUGCGGUGCUCCAGAGAACUGCGCAGGUAAGAAGAGAACACUGCACAGGGAAGAUACAGAGCAGAUCAGGGCUAAGUGUGAUUCCUGUGUCCAUCACAUUCGGGCCUGCACUUACGGCACUUGGAAGCACAAAAGCAGCAGUUACUGGUAUUUCUGGACAAUUUUUUUCACAUAAAAAUUUUGAUAAGUGUUGAAAAUCAUAUAAAGGACUUAAGCUUUGUUCUCCUGUGAAUUCUUCAGGUAUAUAGCUAAAAUUUCUGAAAAUAACAAUUUAUGAAUAUCCUAUCAACACAACUAUAUAUACUGUCAUUUACACAUUUUUUAGUAUUAAAAAUUGUUAGUAUUAUUUUACCAUAUCUUGAGAGCAAGUCAUUUUACAAAUAUUUUGUAGCUUGUUAGUAAUGUCAACUUUUCCUCAUUAAACUACCAGGUAAAACUCUGUAAUUUGUGGAUUGAAGAGAAAG